rnacentral:rRNA from 1 species
CCUACGGGAGGCAGCAGUCGGGAAUAUUGCGCAAUGGAGGAACUCUGACGCAGUGACGCCGCGUAUAGGAAGAAGGUUUUCGGAUUGUAAACUAUUGUCGUUAGGGAAGAAAAAGACAGUACCUAAGGAGGAAGCCCCGGCUAACUAUGUGCCAGCAGCCGCGGUAAU